rnacentral:rRNA from 1 species
GACGAACGCUGGCGGCGUGCUUCAUACAUGCAAGUCGAACGAGAAGCUCUCUUCGGAGGGUGGAAAGUGGCGGACGGGUGAGUAAAAUGUAGAGAAUCUGCCCUAGAGAGGGGGACAACAGAGGGAAACUUCUGCUAAUACCCCAUAUGCGCGUAGCUGAGAUGCUAUUCGUGAAAACUCCGGUGCUCUAGGAUGAGUCUGCAUCUGAUUAGCUAGUUGGGGGUGUAAUGGACCACCAAGGCGACGAUCAGUAGCUGGUUUGAGAGGAUGAUCAGCCACAAUGGGACUGAGACACGGCCCAUACUCCUACGGGAGGCAGCAGUAGGGAAUAUUGGGCAAAUGGGGGAAACCCGUGACCCAGCAACGCCGCGUGAAGGAAGAAGGCCUCGGUUGUAACGUUAC